AGUGAACGCUGGCGGUAGGCCUAACACAUGCAAGUCGAACGGCAGCACAGUAAGAGCUUGCUCUUACGGGUGGCGAGUGGCGGACGGGUGAGGAAUACAUCGGAAUCUACUUUUUCGUGGGGGAUAACGUAGGGAAACUUACGCUAAUACCGCAUACGACCUACGGGUGAAAGCAGGGGAUCUUCGGACCUUGCGCGAUUGAAUGAGCCGAUGUCGGAUUAGCUAGUUGGCGGGGUAAAGGCCCACCAAGGCGACGAUCCGUAGCUGGUCUGAGAGGAUGAUCAGACAGACUGGAACUGAGACACGGUACAGACUCCUACGGGAGGCAGCAGUGGGGAAUAUUGGACAAUGGGCGCAAGCCUGAUCCAGCCAUACCGCGUGGGUGAAGAAGGCCUUCGGGUUGUAAAGCCCUUUUGUUGGGAAAGAAAAGCAGCAGGUUAAUACCCCGCUGUUCUGACGGUACCCAAAGAAUAAGCACCGGCUAACUUCGUG
rnacentral:rRNA from 1 species